UACAGAGGGGGCAAGCGUUGUUCGGAAUUACUGGGCGUAAAGGGCGCGUAGGCGGCCUGUUAAGUCGAACGUGAAAUCCCCGGGCUCAACCCGGGAACUGCGUCCGAAACUGGCAGGCUCGAAUUCGGGAGAGAGAUGCGGAAUUCCAGGUGUAGCGGUGAAAUGCGUAGAUAUCUGGAGGAACAUCGGUGGCGAAGGCGGCAUCCUGGACCGAGUAUUGACGCUGACGGCGCGAAAGCCAGGGGAGCAAAGCGGGG
rnacentral:rRNA from 1 species